AUUGAACGCUGGCGGCAUGCCUUACACAUGCAAGUCGAACGGCAGCAUGGAGAGCUUGCUCUCUGAUGGCGAGUGGCGAACGGGUGAGUAAUGCAUCGGAACGUACCGUGUAAUGGGGGAUAACGUAGCGAAAGUUACGCUAAUACCGCAUACGACCUGAGGGUGAAAGCAGGGGAUCGCAAGACCUUGCGUUAUACGAGCGGCCGAUGUCAGAUUAGCUAGUUGGUGGGGUAAAGGCCUACCAAGGCGACGAUCUGUAGCGGGUCUGAGAGGAGGAUCCGCCACACUGGGACUGAGACACGGCCCAGACUCCUACGGGAGGCAGCAGUGGGGAAUUUUGGACAAUGGGGGCAACCCUGAUCCAGCCAUGCCGCGUGAGUGAAGAAGGCCUUCGGGUUGUAAAGCUCUUUCGGCCGGGAAGAAAUCGCACAGGCUAAUACUCUGUGUGGAUGACGGUACCGGCAUAAGAAGCACCGGCUAACUACGUGCCAGCCGCCGCGGUAAUAC
rnacentral:rRNA from 1 species